CUCGUAGGCGGCUCAGCAAGUCAGGUGUGAAACCUCCGGGCUCAACCCGGAGACGCCACCUGAUACUGCUGUGGCUAGAGUCCAGUAGGGGAGCGUGGAAUUCCCGGUGUAGCGGUGAAAUGCGCAGAUAUCGGGAGGAACACCAGUGGCGAAGGCGGCGCUCUGGGCUGGAACUGACGCUGAGGAGCGAAAGCGUGGGGAGCGAACA
rnacentral:rRNA from 1 species